CUGCAGAUCACUGACUCUGUAAUGAAGGAAUCUAGGAAAUAAGGGAGUUUUUGAACCAGUAAGCAAUACAGCAUAAAAGCAUCCCUUGACAAGUGUUUUGAACUCCAAUCCUAAAUCUCAUCAGCCAGAAGCGGAUCCAGAUUUUUACAACAAAGGGGUUGUGUGGAAGCACACCCCAACCAGGGCAGGCAGAACGCACCACAGGACCAGCGGGUAGGAACUUUUGUGAGUCCUUAAGAAGCAUCUUGCAUCUCUUUUCAAGCCAGCGCAGGGCACGACCAAGAGGUAAUGCACUUCAAUUGCAAAGAGCACUUUCGAAAACUCUCCAGACCUGGACACUCCCUCAGCUAAGAAGCCAGGCUACUUAGUUACACCACUUUGGACAGAUAAAUUAAAGUGAAAACAUCCUUCCAAGUACUAAGAGAGACCUUAAUAGCAGGAUCUGCUCCAUAUUUUGUGGAGGAUAUAUGAGAGCAGUGUGACUACCCGAAUGGAGUGACUCUCUCUUCUAGAGAAACAAAAAAGGAACAAGAAAAGCCUCUCAGUUUUAUAGCCAGUGCUGUCCAGCAGUCUAGUCCCUAAAGAAUGAUGUUAGUGGCUAUGUAGCAAUAUAUGGUCUGACAUUACUCACCUGGCAGAGCAGACAUGCUGAACUGAUCUUAUUUCUUCUGAGCAUUUGGAUCGUACAAGUCGCACACAAACAGGAGCUAAUAAAUAAGCUG